rnacentral:rRNA from 1 species
CACAUGCAAGUCGAACGAGAAUCUGAUGAAGGAGUUUUCGGACAACGGAUUCAGAGGACAGUGGCGGACGGGUGAGUAACGCGUGAGGAACCUGCCUUUCAGAGGGGGACAACAGGUUGAAACGACUGCUAAUACCGCCAUAACACAUUGAAGUCGCAUGGCUUUAAUGUCAAAGNUUUAUCGCUGAAAGAUGGCCUCGCGUCUGAUUAGCUAGUUGGUGAGGUAACGGCUCACCAAGGCGACGAUGCGUAGCCGACCUGAGAGGGUGAUCGGCCACAUUGGGACUGAGACACGGCCCAGACUCCUACGGGAGGCAGCAGUGGGGGAUAUUGCGCAAUGGGGGCAACCCUGACGCAGCAACGCCGCGUGAUCGAAGAAGGUCUUCGGAUUGUAAAGAUCUUUUAUCAGGGACGAAUAAAAUGACGGUACCUGAUGAAUAAGCUCCGGCUAACUACGUG